rnacentral:rRNA from 1 species
UACAGAGGUCUCGAGCGUUAGGCGGAAUCACUGGGCUUAAAGCGUGUGUAGGCGGACUGGUAAGUACCUUGUGAAAUCCCACGGCUCAACCGUGGAACUGCUUGGUAUACUGCUUGUCUUGUGCAACCUAGGGGCGAGCGGAACAGAUGGUGGAGCGGUGAAAUGCGUAGAUAUCAUCUGGAACGCCAACGGUGAAAACAGCUCGCUGGGGGUUUGCAGACGCUGAGACACGAAAGCCAGGGGAGCGAACGGG